rnacentral:rRNA from 1 species
AUUGAACGCUGGCGGCAGGCUUAACACAUGCAAGUCGAGCGGAAGAAGGGAGCUUGCUCCUGGAUUCAGCGGCGGACGGGUGAGUAACGCCUAGGAAUCUGCCUGGUAGUGGGGGAUAACGUCUGGAAAAGGGCGCUAAUUCCGCAUACGUCCUGUGGGAGAAAGUGGGGGAUCUUCGGACUUGACGCUAUAAGAUGAGAGUAGGUCGGAUUAGCUAGUUGGUGGGGUAAAGGCCUUUCAAGGCGACGAUCCGUAAAUGGUCUGAGAGGAUGAUCAGUCACACUGGAACUGAGACACGAUCCAGACUCCUACGGGAGGCAGCAGUGGGGAAUAUUGGACAAUGGGCGAAAGCCUAAUCCAGCCGUGCCGCGUGUGUGAAGAAGGUCUGCGGGUGGUAAAGCACUUUAAGUUGGGAGGUAGUUCAGUAAGUUAAUACCUUGCUGUUUUGACGUUACCAGCAGAAUAAGCACCGGCUAACUUCGUG